rnacentral:rRNA from 1 species
CCUACGGGAGGCAGCAGUGGGGGAUAUUGCACAAUGGGGGAAACCCUGAUGCAGCGACGCCGCGUGGGCGAAGAAGUAUUUCGGUAUGUAAAGCCCUAUCAGCAGGGAAGAAGAAAUGACGGUACCUGAGUAAGAAGCACCGGCUAAAUACGUGCCAGCAGCCGCGGUAAUACGUAGAGUGCAAGCGUUAUCCGGAUUUACUGGGUGGAAAGGGAGCGCAGGCGGCACGGCAAGCCUGAUGUGAAAGCCCGCGGCCCAACCGCGGGACUGCAUUGGGAACUGCCGGGCUGGAGUGCCGGAGAGGUAGGCGGAAUUCCUAGUGUAGCGGUGAAAUGCGUAGAUAUUAGGAGGAACACCAGUGGCGAAGGCGGCCUACUGGACGGUGACUGACGCUGAGGCUCGAAAGCGUGGGGAGCAAACAGGAUUAGAUACCCUAGUAGGC